UUCUUAUUGGAUGAUGACUGUCACGUGUCAUGUUCUGAUUGGAUGUCAACUCCAUGGAAGAUGAAAUGCAUUGUUGUUGUCAUUGGUCGAUCAGAACAUGACAUGUGACAAUCAUCAUUC
rfam:Glycine soja cultivar W05 scaffold2932_14, whole genome shotgun sequence.